AUACCUUUCUCGGCUUUUUGGCUAAGAUCAAGUGCAGUAUCUGUUCUUAUCAUUUUAAUAUCUGAUACUUGGACUUAGGUCCACAUGGUAUUAGCUUAAUAUUUUAAAGGGAAGAGCCCAUCAUUGUAGGUUGCUAUUGGACAAUAUUACGGGCAUUGCCCCUGCGUUGCACUACAGCAAGGGCCUGGCACCAUAA
rfam:Populus trichocarpa scaffold_6_contig_348, whole genome shotgun sequence.